UAGACUUGUAAACCCCUAUGCACUGAGACGAGAAUAUAGGCUUGACUGUAAAAAGAGAAGCAUUAAUUUCUACUGAGAUCUGAAGAGCA